rnacentral:rRNA from 2 species
CGCAGCCUGAUGCAGCGACGCCGCGUGAGGGAUGACGGCCUUCGGGUUGUAAACCUCUUUCACCAGGGGCGAAUUGAGACGGUACCUGGAGAAGAAGCACCGGCCAACUACGUGCCAGCAGCCGCGGUAAUACGUAGGGUGCGAGCGUUGUCCGGAAUUACUGGGCGUAAAGAGCUCGUAGGCGGUUUGUCGCGUCGUUCGUGAAAACCCGAUGCUUAACAUCGGGCGUGCGGGCGAUACGGGCAGACUUGAGUACUACAGGGGAGACUGGAAUUCCUGGUGUAGCGGUGAAAUGCGCAGAUAUCAGGAGGAACACCGGUGGCGAAGGCGGGUCUCUGGGUAGUAACUGACGCUGAGGAGCGAAAGCGUGGGUAGCGAACAGGAUUAGAUACCCUGGUAGUCCACGCCGUAAACGGUGGGUACUAGGUGUGGGUUCCUUUCACGGGAUCCGUGCCGUAGCUAACGCAUUAAGUACCCCGCCUGGGGAGUACGGCCGCAAGGCUAAAACUCAAAGGAAUUGACGGGGGCCCGCACAAGCGGCGGAGCAUGUGGAUUAAUUCGAUGCAACGCGAAGAACCUUACCUGGGUUUGACAUACACCAGACGCUGGUAGAGAUAUCAGUUCCCUUGUGGUUGGUGU